ensembl:lncRNA novel transcript, antisense to C7orf33 and CNTNAP2
AGAUUUCCUGUCCUUGGGAAGCUGUCAUCAUCCUUCUAUCUUUACACCCCAUGAUUUACCCCUUGCAGUGUACUUAUUACACUGUAUUGGAAUCGCUUCUUUUCUCUUUCUCUGUGAAUUUCUUGAGAGCACAGACUACAUUCUGCUUAACUUUUUAUCCCCAGCUUUCAGCACAGUGCCUGGCUGCUUUGGCGUCUCCAAGUACCUGACCUCAGCUCAACCUGUCUUGGGUUUUCUUCUCCUCCCUGACAUUGACAACCCAGCCCUCCUAGGCACAGAGAGAUGGAGCUGAGUGUGGUUUUCCUGAAAUAAAGCUUGCAUUAUGAGAGGGAAUAAACAGUGUCUGAGGCGCAUGGCCCCGGGAGAGGAGGAGAAUGGGACGGUGGUUCAGAUCUGCUGAUGUAGCUGUGGUCAGUCACUGGGGAGAAUAGGCCUGUGGAUUUCUGCUCCUCUGAGAUGGAUCCAUCACUGACUACUGAACUUGUUUUCUCAUUGGCUCAACUUAAGAAGGUUCUAGAGGUGAGAAAAGAGUUCACAAAUCCAUUGGUCUGAAUGAGGUGAAUUUCUGAGAUAUGCUUUUAUUUUGGAGAACAGUAUACACAUUUAACUUCUAUUUUCAGUGUAGAAAAAAUGUCUAUCAUGGUUUUUGUCACUCUUAUUAAACACAGAAAGGGUAAAAUGCAGUUAUGGUUAUAGGUUCUCAGUUAUGCCUGAAAAAAAACUGAAGUAAAAUUUAAUUUAUUAAAAAUGAUCAGGAAAUCUUCCCACUACCAUGUAGGAUCAAGGACGUGAAACAACCAAAACCAAAGAGCAGCUGGAGACCACUUGCCAGUGAUUAGCACGAGGUAAGCUGCAAAGAACUUUGAAUUAGGUCAGUCUAAAUAAUAGGGCGUUUUUCAAGUCCUUGCCUUGGGAAGAUCAGGAACACGGUGAAUAAUUGGGAUUACCUUUGUCUCACUAAGAGCCAAACCCCAGGUGUUGUAAGGCUACAAAGCUAUCUCAUUGUCUUCCUGUAUCAUCCAACGCUGAGAUCCUCUGUGACAUUUUAAAUUGCUUAUGUAGCAAAGCAAAUGGAGUACAGUAUUCAAACAUAGUUUUGUGUUUGUAGAGAACAUAAGAAGCUGAAAAUAUGAAUGGAUUCAAAGUGCAUGUAGAAAAAAAUGUGUCUGCUAUCUUUGUGAUUUGUUGCUAAGGAAAUGUUUCAUAGAGUAUUAGUACUGGACGAGCCCAAAGAAAUAAUAAUAUGAAGCCAUGUGAUAUUUGGGAUCCACUUACACUAAAAAUUAUUGUUUAUUACAUUUACAUUAUAUUAUUUGUUCUUUAUCUGAAAUCCGAAUUUACCAGAGCGUCUUUUGUUUUUAUUUGCUAAACCUGGCACCCCUAUUGAAAAUCCUGCUCCCCAGGCUUCAGCAAUAUCUCACUAUGUAGAAAAAGUUAGGUUAAAGUUGAAUUGUCUGCUAUUUUAGAAUGUCUAAAUAUAUUCAGAAGGCAAACUAUUGGAAGAUUUUUUUUAAGCUCAUUUUAUAUUCAAAACUUAGAAAUAAGGCUCAAGGAGGAAGGCGUGUCCUUCCAAUGUCAUUUUGGAGCAUUGUUGAAUAGGUCUAUCUGAAGAUUAUUUAAAUAUUUAGGGCAAUGUUCUUGUUUGUCCCGCGAUCUAUUAAUGAUUAAAGGGCCGAGGUCUGUGAAGUUACAUGUUAUCGUGAGGUAUUUGUCUGGCAGUGAUGCAAAUCAAUUCUGUCUGGUAGAAAAGAUAACCUAAAAGGUUAUAAUUACUGCUUUAGUGCGUUGCAGGAUAUUAACUUGUUUUGUAUAACCUAGGGCUCUUAUGCUAACAUUUUUUUCAUUUUUUUAAAAAUAAAAUCUUUAAAACUUUAAA